UACAGAGGUCUCAAGCGUUGUUCGGAUUCAUUGGGCGUAAAGGGUGCGUAGGCGGCGCGGUAAGUCGGGUGUGAAAUCUCGGAGCUUAACUCCGAAACUGCAUUCGAUACUGCCGUGCUUGAGGACUGGAGAGGAGAAUGGAAUUCCCGGUGUAGCGGUGAAAUGCGCAGAUAGUCGGGAAGAACACCCGUGGCGAAGGCGGCUCUCUGGGACGGUACUGACGCUGAGACGCGAAAGCGUGGGGAGCGAACAGG
rnacentral:rRNA from 1 species